AUGGCCCUGACUGAAGACCAGCAGUUAUACUGUAGCUGUUGGUUCAAACAGAGGCCUAAAGGACUGUCUUCCUAUGGUCUGUUGGCUGUUCUGGAAUCUCAGCAGAGAAUGGCUGUUUCACGUGGAAGAAACAACC